rnacentral:lncRNA from 1 species
AACAUGUGCAUUUGUAGGAGCAUAAACCUUCAGCUCUGAGGGCAGUUUGUAUUGAGCAAGGGAAGCAGAACGGAGAAUCCUGGCAGAGCGAAGCUGCACCGUGGAAGGAGUGACCUCCAGAGGCGGAAGGAGGGUCCAGGGUCAGGGUCAGAAGGAGAGCAGGAUGAGGAAGAUGAAGUAUGAAGAGGGUAACUAAGUUCCCUGGGGCGUCACAGCUGCUGUGCCUCACUGAGCCUUGUAGACAGUGGGAGCUCAAUCAUGGCUGUGUCCUCCAUGAAGCUGAGGAUCAGAGCCCC